GAUAAGUGAGGACAUUGCUCAAAUGGAGUGAUUUGAUUAUCCACUCUUGAGUUCCCCAACCUUAAAAAUAUUCCUUUUCUCACUUUCCUCACUUAAAAAGAUGUUGAUUGUCGUAUGUACAUGAACUUUUAAAAAUGAUCAGUAUUCUCCUUCCUGGUUUUUGUUUAAAAUUCAGCCUUGUAUUGGUGAGAAAAUGAGGAAAUAAUGGUGGCGACCAGACCCGACGAGCCAGUCAAUUAUUGGAAAAUAUUGUGCAUGUAACAAGUCCCUACCAAAGGGGAUGAGAGUUCAUGAACACUUCUCGGGUCGUCCUGAUUGAUUCACGCUACGGAAGAAAAAUGGACCUUAUUUAAAAUUUUGUGGCGUUUACACUACAUUAUUGGAUGGUCUGUCUAGCCUGUGUUUUCGUUUUGUGGUUUGGUUUGGUUUUCUCGUCAAAUUUUGGUAAUAAUGUUGGCCCAGAAUAAUUUCAGAGUAAGUAUAGUUCACCUGGUCUGGAAAAUUUUAAACCAUUUUCCAAUACAAACAAAGAUGCUUAAUACAAAAUAUAUUAUGUUGUGUUGUUUAAGUGCUAACGAGGAAAUGAUGACUUGAUACUUUUUCAGAGAGAACAAUACCUAAAUGGACUUUUGUGGUUAAGUUCGAGUUGGUGGAUGGAUGGAUGGAUGGGGGAAAUGCGUUGUCCCAAAGGACCGACAAGGCCAAGAAUUUAUUCCUCCUUCUCUUCGAACGGCUUAAGAGGAAAGAAUCAUUUUGUCUAAAGCCGUUCGUACAACUAUUCGGUAUCGGACCAUGAAACUGGAAUGGAAGAAAGAAAACAUUGUUCAAGCGGAAGGAGGUAAUCUAAAAUCGCCGACCAAAAUUUGCAAAGUUGUAAAGGCUCCAGCUACUUAUGAGGAUGAUGCCGAUUUUUUUAACCCAAAUCGACUCACCCGGUGACGGUACUCAGGAAAUUUUUUUGAACAUUCGAAAAUUCAUCGAUUUUUUACGGCAUUUUUUUUAGCAAAAAUGUACAAAAUUAUACUAAAAUUCGUUUUGGGAUAACACUUGCAGGCAGGGUAUUAUAUUAUCAAGACGCCGUAUUGCACUAAUUUUACUGGUCUGGUCCUCUAAAGAGAUGAGUAGGAGACCGAUGAUGAUGAUCUAAAAUUUUACCCGGAUUAUGCAGUCCUCAGCACAGCGCUGUAUCCCUUUAGAUUUGUGGUCCAAUUAGAGUAAGAUAAGAUUGUUCAGGAGAAAAAAAUAAUUUAAAAUCGCCGACUUGUAAGUGCAAAGUUCAAAAGGCGCCAGUAACUUUGAGGAUAAUGUUGAUUUUUUUACCCAAAUCGACUCAUCCCAUGUCUGUACUGCGUCACCUACAUUUUAUUAUGCAUAGGGAGGAGAACACCGGCCAAUAGAGUUACAUAGUUAUGAACACUUAUUGUACGCCUUGUUACAUAUGACAAAUACUAAAAUUUGACAGUUUUUAACAGGAGAAAUGCGUAGUUUACGCUGUCCGAUGUUGUACAACGACAAGAAUUUAUUCCUCCUUCACCGCGAGCGUCACAGGGGAAAGCAUGAUUUUGUUUAAAGCCGUUCGUAUAUACAAAUUAGUUACUGUUUUGCUCAUGAAAUCAGACUUCACAACUUGGAGCUGAAUUCGUUACAAAAUCCAGUACUUCUAUUCGGUAUCGGGUCAUGAAACUGGAAUGGAAAUUAGAGCAAGAAAAGAUUGCUCAGGCGGAAGGAAGUAACUUAAGAUCGCCGACUAGAAAGUGCAAAGUUGAAAGGCGCCAGCUACCUAUUAGGAUGAUGCCGAUUUUUUUUAUCCAAAUCGACUCACCCGAUGACGAUUAAUUUUGCAAACAUUCAAUUUUUUACGGCAUUUUUUAUGUAAAAAAUUAAACUAAAAUUUGUUUUGGGAUAACACUUUAGGGUCGCCACCACUGAUAUUAUAAAGACGCCUUAUUGCACAAAUUUUACUGCUCUUGUCCUCGAAAGAGAUGAGUAUGAGACGGACGACGAUGAUCCAAAAUUUUACCUGGAUUAUGCAGUCCCCACCACAGCGCUGUAUCACUUUAGAUUUGUGGUCCAAUUAAGAGCAGGAUAAGAUUGCUCAGGCGUAAGCAAAUAAUUUAAAAUCGCCGACCAGUAAGUGCAAAGUUGAAAAGACGCCAGCUACUUAUGAAGAUGAUGCUGAUUUUUUUUACCAAAAUCGACUCACCCGAUGAAGGUACUGCGUCAUUUCUUGCAUUUUCUUAUUGUCCAAAGGGGGAGAACACCGGCCGGCCGGAGCCAGAUGAACGUUUUCAGGACAAUGUUUCGAUUGUUCGUACGAACAUUACGGAUAGAACCCGCUUUCGAAGACACUUUUAAGAAAAUGGAGACAGGUUCACCACCCCCACCGAAAAUUACCAAAGACACUGAUAUUAUCAAGACGCCGUAUUGCAGUAAUUUUACUGGUCUGGUCCCUGAAGAAGAUGAGCAUGAGACCGAUGAUGAUGAUCCCAAAUUUUACCCGGAUUAUGCAGUCCCCAGCACAAUCCCUUUAGAUUUGUGGUCCAACAGGAUAAGAUUGCCCAGGAGAAAAAAACAAUAAUUUGAAAUCGCCGACCAGUAAGUGCAAAGUUGAAGGCGCCAGCUACUUAUGAAGAUGAUGCUGAUUUUUUUACCCAAACUCACCCGAUGAAGAUACUGCGUUACCUGCAUUUUAUUCCGGUAAGAACACCGGCCGGCCGGACCCCGAUGGACGCUUUCAGGACAAUUUUUCGAAUGUCUCUGCGAAAAUUACUGGAUAUGUAUGUAUAUUCGAAAAUUUCUCGCAAAUUUGGGGAAUUUUUUUGUAAAAAAGUACACAAAAUCGAAGUAGACCCCGUUUUCGGGGGGGGAGAACACUUGGAAAAUCCAGGUAGGGUGACCACCCCCACCGAAAAUUACCAAAGACACUGAUAUUAUCAAGACGCCGCCUUGUACUAAUUUUACUGGUAAAUUUUAUCCUCUACCCUGAAGAAGAUGAGUCUGAGACCGACGAUGAUGAUGUAAAAUUUUACCCGGAUCAUACAGUCCCCAGUAUCCCUAUAGCUCUGUGGCCCUUCUGUCCGUCUAUCCGUUCAAAGCACGAUGGUCUUCGGUCUGCUGAAGCUCUGGAACAUGAUGGUGCAAUGGGUUUGACAUCGGUGACAAUAUUUUUGGGACCUUGUGACGCUGUCACUGUAACAAUAGUUAUUUGUUAUGAAGUAAACUUACUUUAUACACAUAAAAAAGUGCGAAAGUUAGUUUGAUAAAAAUAGAGGAUCAAUUCAUACCAAAUUUUCUCGAUAUACUGUUGUCAAUGGGGGAGCAAAGUCUUCAUCACCUGAGUGAAUAUGCAUAAAUGAGACGCUGACGUGGUCACUCUCUGCUUCUCCGACGCAGUUCUACUAUAUAAUCGUAUGUAUGUAAUAUAAUAAUAAAAUCAUGAAAUUGUCUGGAAA